GUACGAGUUGUGCUUACGGACGAGACUGACGUGUUUGUUGGGGAUUACGCUUUAAGACAAGUGCGACCUGUGGACUCUGAUGUGUUCAAACUGUGCUGCUAGCAUGUGUUAAGUGCUGUGGACAAUGUUUCUCGUGCUAUUGCUGCUGGCCUCGGCCGCCGGCGCCGAGAUCCAGGAAAGAGGUAAGAAACUUUUCCACGUGACACAAACAUGGCAGUUGUACAGUAAGUAGUGUUAAAAAUUUCUCAGAUUCCUUGGCAUACCGCUGGGCUACAACACGAGAGUUAUUUGGCUAUGAUUUUUUUAUAAGGUUGAGAUACUCACGAAACGGACUGUUCCAAAGACAUUUUCCAA
rnacentral:misc_RNA from 1 species